rnacentral:rRNA from 1 species
UACGUAGGGUGCGAGCGUUAAUCGGAAUUACUGGGCGUAAGGCGUGCGCAGGCGGUUCGUUGUGUCGGCGGUGAAAGCCCCGGGCUUAACCUGGGAAUGGCCGUUGAAACUGGCGAACUGGAGUGUGGCAGAGGGGGGUGGAAUUCCGCGUGUAGCAGUGAAAUGCGUAGAGAUGCGGAGGAACACCGAUGGCGAAGGCAGCCCCCUGGGCUGACACUGACGCUCAGGCACGAAAGCGUGGGGAGCAAACAGG